UACGUAGGGCGCAAGCGUUAUCCGGAAUUAUUGGGGCGUAAAGAGCUUGUAGGCGGUUUGUCGCGUCUGCUGUGAAAAUCCGGGGCUCAACCCCGGACUUGCCGUGGGUACGGGCAGACUGGAGUGUGGUAGGGGGAGACUGGAAUUCCUGGUGUAGCGGUGGAAUGCGCAGAUAUCAGGAGGAACACCGAUGGCGAAGGCAGGUCUCUGGGCCACUACUGACGCUGAGAAGCGAAAGCAUGGGGGAGCGAACAGG
rnacentral:rRNA from 1 species